rnacentral:rRNA from 1 species
UACGGAGGGUGCAAGCGUUAUCCGGAUUCACUGGGUUUAAAGGGUGCGUAGGAGGGCAGGUAAGUCAGUGGUGAAAUCCCCGAGCUUAACUCGGGAACUGCCGUUGAUACUAUCUGUCUUGAAUAUCGCGGAGGUAAGCGGAAUAUGUCAUGUAGCGGUGAAAUGCUUAGAUAUGACAUAGAACACCGAUUGCGAAGGCAGCUUACUACACGAUCAUUGACACUGAGGCACGAAAGCGUGGGGAGCAAACAGG